UGUGUUUAAUAAUAAUUAAUAGGUCAUUACGAAAAAACAUUCAAUUCAAAGCAUAUGAGCCUGGCCUGAUAUAGCAGACGAGUAGUAAUAUAGACAUACGGUUGACUCAAUUCGUAGUCCUGCGACUCUUGUUCUCUCCUUCGUUUUCCUUUCAUUCAGGUUUCUUAUUGUAUAGUAGGUAAAACUUAUAAUUAGAUCCAUAAGCCACGUUGUACGAGAAACAUUUUGCACAAGUCGUAUCGACAUCCAAAAAUUAUUUUUAAUUGAUCUGCAAGCUUCAGGAUAAUUCGAUUAAUCACUUCAACAAAAAAGAAAUAAUGAGAGUAUUUUAUCCGCCAUUAAUCAUGAAAAGUAAGUUUGAGGCAUGAGGGCUUGCUUGCCUUCCCUUUUGCCUAGGUCAGAACAAAAAGUGGAGGCUGUACGUUACACCAAGCUAUAAUUGCCUAUUCGAACUUUUUCACAAUCCAGUGACCGAGAAAAUUAAAGUAGCCAUUCUCAGGAGCUGUGUUCAAUCACUAAAAAAGAAAACCAAUUUGAAAUAAAUGAAAUGAAAAUCUGACAAAUGAAUGACACAGAAUCCACAAAAGGAUGACAGAACUAAUUUUCAUGUUCUUUUAACAAACUGAUUGAACGUUACCAAAUCAAAGCAAUUGUCUCAGGCGACAAUCAAAUUUACUAAUGCUUUGCGGAAACCCAACCAAAUAAUUUUCUUCUUAAGGGCUGCAAAAUUUUCAGUG